rnacentral:rRNA from 1 species
UACGGAGGGGGCUAGCGUUAUUCGGAAUCACUGGGCGUAAAGCGCACGUAGGUGGAUAGCUAAGUCAGGGGUGAAAGCCCGAGGCUCAACCUCGGAAUUGCCUCUGAUACUGGCUGUCUUGAGUCCGAGAGAGGUGGGUGGAAUUCCUAGUGUAGAGGUGAAAUUCGUAGAUAUUAGGAAGAACACCGGUGGCGAAGGCGGCCCACUGGCUCGGUACUGACACUGAGGUGCGAAAGCGUGGGGAGCAAACAGG